ensembl:lncRNA ARLNC1 androgen receptor regulated long noncoding RNA 1
AGUUAUCCAUGAGAACAGGGUGAGAUUCCAGUGUUUCCUCCAGAAAGGCACAUUAUUCCUCCACCAUGGUCUUCUUUUUCCUGUGUACCUUGACCCUGUAGGAGAUGAGACUUCUAAAGUGAUUCCUUUCCCUCUUUUCUCCUCAUCACCCCUUCCCACUCUCUAAGAUUGGUAUCAUUGCUCAUGGUAGGUCUCCUGGAUCCAGCCCCAAGUCUCAUCUUUCCUCUUAUUUGUCCACCAUUUUGCUUGAUCCAUAUGGUUUUCAGGUGCUGGUUCCAUGGCUCUUCCUGAGCCGAAAAUAAGGAAACUCCAUAGACCUUGUCCACUGGAACUCGUUCCCAUCUACCCUCCACUCUAUCCAGGGUGAUGGAUCUCUGCAGUAAGUGGAAGAGUUCUUCAUGGCCCCCAAGGUUAUAUCCAUCUAGAACUUCAGCACGUAAUUUCAUCUGGAAAUAGUGCCUUUGCGGAUAUAAGUUAGGUAAAACUGAAGAUGAGAUCAUACUGGAUUAGGAUGGGAUCUAAAUCCAAUGAAAAUGUCUUCAUAAAAAACAGGAAAGAACCCAUAGAAACACAAGGAAGAAGGUCAUGUGAAGAUGGAGGCAGAGAUUGGAGGGAUGCAGCCACCGGCCCAGGAAUGCCAGCAGCCACCCAGAAGCUGGAAGGAAAUGAGGGAUUCUCUCCUAGAACCUUUAGAGAGAACAUGGUCCUGUGAACAGCUUGAUUUUGGACUUGCCCAUAGCUUGUAUACUCUUACUUUGGAUACAAUUUUAUCCAAACUUGGCUAAACAGUUUCUCAGCCUAUGGAAAAUUUAAAAUGGAGAAGAUUCAACUCGAUUCUUACAGAUUCAAAGCAAGAAAAUGAUGGGAACAUAGGAGGAGACCAAGAAAGCCUAUAAAAAGCAAAAAUAUGAAGUGAACAUUGUGGUAGCUUUAAGAUGUUUAGUGUAGCUGCAGGCACCCUAUACACAUGAAAACCCCCAAGGGGAAUCCCCAUAUCACAGUGUAGUGUGAUAUUUGACAUUCGUGAUCAUCUAGAGAUGUACAGAAAAGGUGAAUCUGUGUUCUGUAUAUUCUGCCUAAGGCAAAGAAAUGUUUAGCUCUCUUUAAAAUAGUUCCAUAAUUUUUUCUAAAAAGCUUUGCUUGAAAACUGUAAGCUUCCCAUAUCUGGAGCAUUUCACUUUAAAUAUUUGGAUAAAUAUGUUAUCUUCUUACUUGGACAUUUCAUGUGUUUAGGGAUUGUCUUCUAAAUUCUUCCUAAUUCAUAUAGCUGCUAACACUUCCCGCAGAGCUAAACCAUUACAGAUAUGAAAUAAAGACCUAUUGAUUUGACUUACUUUUACUUGUAAAACCUUCUGAGUGUUAUAACCUCAUUUAAUCUUUCAGCAUUUACAGUUUCAAGAGUUUGUGUCACAAUUAGAAGAAUUCAGCUGCACCUCCAAGUGACAGCAGUUGCUCUGGUUGGUGGGUGAUCUCAGGAGGCUUGAGAAUUGCUUUGUCUGUGAGGGAAGUAAGACAUUUUCAGAGCCCCACUUUAGAAGGUGUGAACUGGCUAGAUAAUGAACCCCAGGGCUAACGCUGCUAUAGCAGUGGGAAGGAGGUGAUGGGUUUUCAGUUUGGACCUCAAACAUCAAUACCCUCCUGGUACGGGGAGGAACAGAGUCCCUCCUUUACUUCUCCAUUAGAAAGAAUGAGAUGGCAAGACAAUGAAACAGGCAAAGUGAACAGAGAUGCAAGACAAAAUUCAGGUGAGAGAGCCAGAGCAUCACUCAGCCAUUCCUGACAUGUAAAACAGGCAACUAGAAAUUUGCAGAAAGGAAGCGAAGUCUCCAUAAAGAUGUUUUUAAAGUGAGCUUGAAGUAUUUGGAGACAAUUCAGUGUUACAUAAAAUCUGCAAAUCUCUGGAUAAAGAAGCAGAGAUCCCAGCAUGGGACAAAUGGAGCCUCAAAAGUGGGAAGAAGACAGAGAAGACCAGGGCAGAAUGCAUCUCUUCCUUUCUCUUGGCUUUCCUGGAUAAGGACUGCAUCAUUCCUGUGGAAGGACAGGCCAUCAGCUCCGAAACACUGUAUGUAUUUUCCAGUAUAUACUGCUAGCUGUGUGAUGUUGGGAAAAUUUGUUACCCUGUCUAACCCCCACUUCCCUCAUCUGUAAAAUGGAAAUAAUGAUAGUACCUACCUAUCUCAUAGGUGGCAACUACAAGGGGCAGCACACUCAGGGAAUUAAGGAAGUUUCAGUGAACAUCAACUUUAUGAACACAGUGUUCAUAAAGGCAGGUCAGUGCAGUGGUUUGGGAGCCAGGAGAAGCACGUGGGCCGGAGUGUGCCUGCAGGAGACAAGGUCAGAGAUGUUGCUAAUAAUGGAGAAUAAAGGAUGCAUUCUCAUUACUGA